rnacentral:lncRNA from 1 species
UUUAAUUUUAAUUAUUAGAGUCAAUGGCUUUAUUUAAUAUACAUAUUAUUUCAUUUUUAUUAUAUAUAAUUGACUUGCCUUUUUAAGACCUAAAGUCUUAUAAGUCAAUUCAUUUAAUUGUAUUUGUUGUUUAACUGUGGCUCUAGAGAGCUGAGCAUGGUACCCCAUGCCAGUAAUUUCAGCACUUAGAGGAAGAGGCAGAACAAUCAGGAGUUUAAGAUCAUCUUCAGCUACAUAAAAAGCUCCAGGCCAGUCCGGGCUAUAUCAGACCCUUUCUCUAAAAAAGAGUACUGAGGCUAGGAGUUUGACUCAAAGGAUAAAAUGUUUAUUGUGGAAGCAUGAAGACCAGAGUUCUGAACCCACAUAAAAGACAAGGUAAGCAUGGCAGCCACCUAUAAUUCUGUCACUCUUAAUUCAGAGGCAGGAGAUCCCUGGGACAAACUGUCUAACUAGACUGUGUAGAAUUGUUGAGCUCUAGGUUAAGCAAAACACUGCCUUGAUGAAGUAAAACUUGCCCAUCGAUUUUGAGCCUGUGCACUGGUGCACACAUCCAUGCCUGUGCAUGCUCUAUGUACUUGUGUGUGUGUGUAUGUCUGCAUGUUAACCUCUGUCUAAACAUCUCAUUCUUUGCCUCCUUCAGGGAGCUCUCAACAUCAAUGACAGAACCAUACCUCAGCCCCCCAUUCUUCAGCUGUCGGUGGAGAAGUUGAGCAGAGAUGGAGCGUUCCUCAUGGAUGCAGGCUCAGUGAGUGGAUUGACUCAUCCUCAUGAGCUCAGUGUGCUGCUGGGCCUCCUUAGCAGUUGGCUUCAGCUGCCUUUCCUUCUAUGUUAGCACUGGCCAUUCUCCCUGCUGUCUCCCACUUCACGGUGUUCAGUAGUCCUUAGUACAAUCCCACUGAGCAUGCUCCUCCUUUGACUUUACAACAUGAACAAUGGUAAAAGUGUCAGGCUCACUAUUAGGCUGCCUCUCAGAACAGUGCAUUCCUGUUUGCAGGUACUGAUGCUUUGGGUUGGAAGAAAUUGUGCACAGAAUUUUCUCAGCCAAGUUCUGGGAGUUCAAAACUAUGCAUCAAUUCCACAGACAAUGACAGACCUUCCAGAACUUGAUACACCAGAAUCUGCCAGAAUGACAGCUUUUAUCUCCUGGCUUAGAGAACAGAGGCCAUUUUUCCCAAUACUCUAUGUAAUCAGAGAGGAGAGUCUGAUGAAGGCAGCCUUCCUUCAGAACCUGGUAGAAGACAGAACGGAGUCAGCGCUGUCAUAUUAUGAAUUCCUCCUGCACAUACAGCAGCAAGUGAACAAGUGACGAGUCGUGGGCUGCUGAGGAACCACUUUCAGAGUUCCUGGGGAUACAGUACCUUCCUUUCCUCCUUAAAAUUGUGAACAAAUGUGAUGAUGAUUACGAUGUUUCACUGUGAUUUUAACCAACUAUAGCAAAUAAAGGACCACAGCUGAGGGUCAGACGUGCAACUCCAAAAUACUGUAUUUUUCAAAUCAAAAUAGAUGUCUACACGAUUGGAAACCUUUUUUUCCCCUUUGCUGCCAACUAUGUUUGAGUUGUUAUGGAUUGAAAUGAGACAAUAUUGCAGAGGCAAAGUACAUUUUAUAAAAUAAAGACUUCUGUGUUCUGCAUUUCUAUUUCUCAUUUUUUUUUAUUAGUUUUUGGCUGCUACAUUUAAAAAACCUCACAAGACUACGUGUUGCAGGGAGUUUCAAGUCUAUCAAUAAUGAUCUUUUUCAAAUUGGGAAAUCCAAAAGUCAACAGACUGUAGAAAAGCUGGAAUCCAUUCCCUUUACAUGUUUGGUUUUUGCCCCACCCCCCACCUUUUUUUAAGGAAGGCAAAAGAUCAUGUUAACUAAAGUUGGAGUAAGCCAGCUCUGGUCCUGCUUGGGAAGAACAUAAAGUAACUGUCAAGCUUUAAAGUCUGUCAGUAUUUUCUCUACUUGAACAAAGUCACUUUAAUUUGAGGUGAAAACUAAUUAGGUGGUUUUCUGCUGUUUUAUUCUGCCAUGAAUAGAAUUUGAGCUGUCUUCAUGAAGAUCCCAGGACUGGUAUUGAAGUAGGAGCCCGUUGCCUUGACCCACUGAGUGGGCUUUUGUUUGGUCCAUUCCUGCUGUGAUUGAUAAAGAGUUGUGACUGUGGCACACCAGAGUGACAGCAGCUGAAAGUUCCAUCAAUGCAGCCUUAGAGUACAUUAGCAUUUCUCUAAGGAGUUUAAUAAUUACAUUGGAAGCCACUCAUGUAUUCUGAGAUAUUAAAACCUGUUAAAAGUGUGGAUGUUGCUGUCUGAGUUGGUGGACAUUAAGAUUGUACAAAUCCAUCAUAUUAAAGUUAUAAAAGAAACUUGAUUUCUUAACAUGCUCUAAAGACUGCUUGUUUUGAUUCAGUUAGAUUACAGUCAAACUAUCAGAUGGCUUUUGUUUACAAAUAGGUAAAUUAUCCGUGUGUAUUUAAGUGCUGUGUUGUCUUUAAGGGUUUGCCUCAGUUUUCACAGGUUCAUCAUCGUGUAUGAACUUCUCCAGUAAUGUCUGUGUGUAAGACUCAGAGAUUUUUUCUGUUUUUUGUUUUCAUAGAUUAGAAACGUGUUUACAGUCUCCGUCUCAAUGAUCACCAGUGAAAUGUAACUUCCAGGCUUACAUCCACAGGGGCUGACUUUAACUCCUGGAAGGGAAGCAGCAGGUCCCUGGAGUAUAGAGCCACUGCUUGCCAGCGGCUUCCCAGUAACAGGGAGAGUAACAGUGUUAGGGUUCGAUCUCUUUUUAAAUUCUAAGCCACACAGCAUGGUGGUUCAUGAUCCUUACUCUGGUAUUUAAGAGGCUAAAGCAGGAGAUUGCUAGCUUGGCUACAUAGCAAGUGCGAGACCAGCCAGACUUUGUCUCAAAAAGACAAUUGUUUCAGUGUACAUAUAGUACAUUCAAUUGAGGUUUGGUGAUUUUUGUUUUUUUUUGUUUGUUUGUUUUUUGUUUUUUGUUUUUUUUUUUUUGAAAGCUGCUUCAUUUAUUGAGAAGCAAUUUUCAAACUAUAACCAAUUAAAUUUAUAUUGUUUCUCCUCUUUUUAAGAAACAGCCAUUAUAUACAAUGUUCCUUUAAAUGAACUAAAGUCUUCUUUUUAAUGUGAUUUUAAAUGUUAGUGUUUUUUAGGUUCUCUCUUCAUAGUAAGGAAUCUUCCAGAGGGAAAUGUUGCGCUCCUAGGGAAACCUUCCCCGUGCCUUCCCUGAGUGAGUCUGACCCUAUUAGCACCUGCUUGGUAGUAUAUUUCACAAAUUUACUUUUAAAUUUUAUUUUAGAUAUUAUAUAAUGUGCAAUCCAGAGUAAUUUUAUAACAGUCAUAAAAACAUAACUAUUAAGGUUCACAACCUUGUUCUCUAGACAAGAGAAUGAACCUAUACUGAUAUAAUUAUUUUUUUGCUAUGUUGAAUGUUUUUCAGUUUUGACUUUUUUUCAGUAAGACACUACCCAUCCUACCAUCCUGUAUUACUUUCUGAUGUAAAGCAACUUAUAUUUACACUAUGCCAUAUUUUUUUUAUUGUAGUUGUAAAUUAUGAAAGAUCCUUGAAUUUUCUACAGAUCUACAACUACUAAAGUAACAGACAAGGGCAAUCUUGAUAUAUAAAUCUGAGCAUGGCAGUUCUACCAUAAAAAGUACUCUAUUUUUCUAAUUUCUAGAAUUUUUAAAAUAAUGUUUCUGUAAGUCUGACAUACUAAUAUUCACUCAAGCAGUAACAUUUAUUUUAGCUUGCAUAUAUUUUAAUUUAAUGUAAUGUAUUGAGUCUAAUAGACUGUUUUGCAAUAAUUAGAGUAAAAGAUUUACUUCUUCUAAUCAGAGAUGCAGAACAGCUCUCAUCUAGGGACCACCAAAUGUGAGUUCACAGUUUUAACUACUAUAAACACAAUCCGUACAUAGAAAAUUUAAUUUUGUAAAGUAGCCUGUAUGAUAUUGUAACAUUAAGUCCAUGUUCUCAAAUCAAAAAUAUGUGUUGACCUCCAGUGUGUUGUGCUCAGUCUUGCUCUGAAAUGUUGAGGCAAGAUUGGUCUUCCUUUUUACAGAUUGUAAUUUUCACUGUUUUAUUCCUGUUUUUAAAAAAAAGUCAUUUGUAACCCAUGCAAACAAUCGUUUGAUCUGUGCUAACUUAUAAAUUUGGCUAUUCAAUAAAGUUAAUCAAAAGAGCUUAUGUACAGUGGCUGGUUAUUGAAUAUAGUCUAGAGUGGUGGCCUCAGCCUUUACAAGGUGCUGUCGUGGGGAUAGACUCUCCCAUAGCCUCAUCUAGCUGCAGACUGACUGCAUAGCCAAGGACAGAACCUUGAACUUCUGAUCCUGCUGCUUUUACCUCAUAAGUACUAGAAUUACAAGUGUUCCACUGGGCCUUGAUUUAUGUGGUACUGAGGAGCAACACAGGGGGCCUUCACUUGAGCUAGGCAAACAUUCUACCAAUUGAGUCACAUCCCCAGCCUUAAAGUAAAUUCUUGAUGCUCUGCAAGGGUAGCUAGGCUUGAAAUUCCAGACUGGAAGGGACAUCUUCCAAUCUGAAUGUUUUGUGCCUGAAAAGAUGACUACUGUAUAUAGUCCCAACUGUUGUUCAUUUAAAGAUACGCUCCUAGCCUUUGAUGGCUUUUCUCCUUACUUUACAGUUGUAUUUCCCUGGGCUGUUUAUCUUACUUGUCUUCAGGUGACACUGUAAUAAGAAGAUCCUUGUUCUACAAUUCUGGACAUUCCUAGCCAUCUUCUUUCCAAGUGUUUUAUCUGCUUGGGGGGAUUUUUGUUUUGUUUUGCAAGAGUCAUGGUUGAGG